UGCAGUCGAGGGGUAACAUAGAAAAGCUUGCUUUUCUGAUGACGACCGGCGCACGGGUGCGUAACGCGUAUACAACCUACCUUUUAGCGGGGAAUAGCCCAGGGAAACUUGGAUUAAUGCCCCAUAGUAUAUAGACUUCUCCUGAAGUUUAUAUUAAACAUUUAUGGCUAUUAGAUGGGUAUGCGUCCUAUUAGUUAGUUGGUAAGGUAACGGCUUACCAAGGCAGCGAUAGGUAGGGGUCCUGAGAGGGAGAUCCCCCACACUGGUACUGAGACACGGACCAGACUCCUACGGGAGGCAGCAGUGAAGAAUAUUGGACAAUGGGCGAGAGCCUGAUCCAGCCAUGCCGCGUGCAGGAAGACUGCCCUAUGGGUUGUAAACUGCUUUUACAGAAGAAGAACCACCCCCACGUGUGGGGGUUUGACGGUACUCUGCUAAUAAGGAUCGGCUAACUCCGUGCCAGCCGCCGCGGGAUACCGGAGGUACCAACCGUUUUACCCGAAUCAUUGGGUUAAAGGGCCCGUACGCCGGGCAUUCAAUCAAUUGUGAAAGUCUUCCGCUCAACCGGGAGAACUGCCAUUGAUACUGAUUGUCUUGAGUUAUUAUGAAGUGGUUAGAAUGAGUAGUGUAGCGGUGAAAUGCAUAGAUAUUACUCAGAAUACCGAUUGCGAAGGCAGAUCACUAAUAAUAUACUGACGCUGAUGGACGAAAGCGUAGGUAGCGAACAGGAUUAGAUACCCUGGUAGUCUACGCCGUAAACGAUGGUUACUAGCUGUUCGGCCCAAUUGAGGGCUGAGUGGUUAAGCGAAAGUGAUAAGUAACCCACCUGGGGAGUACGUUCGCAAGAAUGAAACUCAAAGGAAUUGACGGGGGCCCGCACAAGCGGUGGAGCAUGUGGUUUAAUUCGAUGAUACGCGAGGAACCUUACCAGGGCUUAAAUGUAGUCUGACAGGUCUGGAAACAGACUUUUCUUCGGACAGAUUACAAGGUGCUGCAUGGUUGUCGUCAGCUCGUGCCGUGAGGUGUCAGGUUAAGUCCUAUAACGAGCGCAACCCCUGUGGUUAGUUGCCAGCGAGUAAUGUCGGGAACUCUAGCCAGACUGCCGGUGCAAACCGCGAGGAAGGUGGGGAUGACGUCAAAUCAUCACGGCCCUUACGUCCUGGGCCACACACGUGCUACAAUGGUAGGGACAGAGAGCAGCCACUUCGCGAGAAGGAGCGAAUCUACAAACCCUAUCACAGUUCGGAUCGCAGUCUGCAACUCGACUGCGUGAAGCUGGAAUCGCUAGUAAUCGCAUAUCAGCCAUGAUGCGGUGAAUACGUUCCCGGGCCUUGUACACACCGCCCGUCAAGCCAUGGAAGCCGGGGGUACCUGAAGUCGGUCACCGCAAG
rnacentral:rRNA from 1 species